GGAAGGAUCAUUUCCAAUCCAAAUCUUUAUCAACCCACUAUGUGCACUGUACAAAUUUUCACCUUUCUGGGAAAAACGAAGCCGGAAAACAACCUCAAAAAGGUUGGUUUCUUACUUCCCGAGUACCAGAAAGACAAAUUUUAUAUUACACCCUGUUUAACCCCAUGUAGAUCUUAUUACAAAAAAUUGUUAAAUACUUGACAACUUUUAACGGUGGAUCUCUUGGCUCGUGCAUCGAUGAAGAACGCAGCAAGCUGCGAUAACUAGUGUGAAUUGCAGAAUUCAGUGAAUCAUCGAGUCUUUGAACGCAAAUGGCGCUUCAGGGUAUUCCCUGGAGCAUGUCUGUUUGAGUGUCAUAUAAAUUCCAUCAAACUAGCAAUAGUUUGGCUUUGAGGUUUUGUCACAGCCUGAAAUAAAAAAUAAACUGAAAAGUUUUUUGUUUGUUUGUAAGGCUGCGUCCCUCGAAAUAUAGAAAACAAAUGGGAAUAGCGCCGGCUCUGAUGUUACUUGUUUUCAUCAAACCCCUGGUGUGGCAAAAAACUUCGCCAGCGGGUGGAAACUUGGGUUUCUCAGAGCAUUGGACAACUUCCAAUCGUUUGUACAAAAACAGGAUUUCAAAGACCUAAAGGGACCUAAACCAUCCUUUUUUCUCUUUCAAACCAUGACCUCAAAUCAGGCAAGACUACCCGCUGAACUUAAGCAUAUUAAUAAGCGGAGGAAAAGAAACUAACAAGGAUUCCCUUAGUAACGGCGAGUGAAGCGGGAAAAGCUCAAAUUUGAAAUCUCCGUGGGCAACUACGGCGAAUUGUAGUUUAAAGAAGUGUUUUCUGGGGUCCAGACCGGUCCAAGUUCCUUGGAACAGGACAUCAGAGAGGGUGAGAAUCCCGUCUUUGGCUGGUCAUGGGUUUCAAUACGAUACACUUUCAAAGAGUCAGGUUGUUUGGGAAUGCAGCCUAAAAUGGGUGGUAAAUUUCAUCUAAAGCUAAAUAUGGGCACGAGACCGAUAGCGAACAAGUACCGUGAGGGAAAGAUGAAAAGCACUUUGAAAAGAGAGUUAAAAGCACGUGAAGCCGUUAAAAUGGAAACGAUUGAAGUCAGCAGUGUGCCAGGGGCAAUCAGUCAUACAGUUUGAAGCCUGCUAGUCGUGACAGCGCAAGCGUCUGGUUGGUAGUCUGAAGAGCUGUGUGGUGUACUUGUCUCUGGUACGGGUCAGCAUCGGUUUCCUAGCUGUGGCGAGAGGUUGGUAGAAAGGUAGCUCACCACGGUGAGUGUUACAGUCUGCCAGCUAAAACGCGGCUGAGACCGAGGAGUCGAAGUGUGCCCUUGUGGCUAGGUCCCUAGGCAGUGCCAGUUUGCAUAUCGGUGAGACUGCACGCAGUUGCGCUGGUAGCGUAGGCGGUAAUUGUCUGGUGGAUUCAUAAACACACUACGGAUGUUGACGAAAUGGCUUUAACCGACCCGUCUUGAAACACGGACCAAGGAGUCUAACAUAUACGCGAGUCUUAGGGUGGCAAACCCGAGAGGCGGAAUGAAAGUAAAGGCAGGUUCGGCUUGCUGAGGUGAGAGCUUUCCCGUUAGGGGGAGCGCAUCAUCGACCGAUCUGGAUAUUCUUUGAAAGAUUUGAGUAAGAGCGUAUGUGUUGGGACCCGAAAGAUGGUGAACUAUGCCUGAAUAGGGUGAAGCCAGAGGAAACUCUGGUGGAGGCUCGUAGCGGUUCUGACGUGCAAAUCGAUCGUCAAAUUUGGGUAUAGGGGCGAAAGACUAAUCGAACCAUCUAGUAGCUGGUUCCCAC
rnacentral:misc_RNA from 1 species